GAAAAGUUGAAAAGUCACAAAAGUAAAGAAUGCAAAUAUUACCAAUAUGCUCAUUUUUAGAUUCUGAAGAGAUUGUGUGUCACAGGAAGGGCCAGAGAAGAAGGAAGCAAAACUGUGAUGAGCUUUUCAAGCUGUUUGCCGUCACCCCUAGUACCGGGAAGCUCGUGUUCGCGGGACUCGCAGUGCUGGACGUCCUGGCCCGCGGGUGAGGCGGAGACCGCGCUCUCUCUGCUGGAGGUCGGGAGGCCAGGCUGGAGAGGACCGGAGGGAACCAAGGGCGCUAGGUCAUUUGAAGCCAAAGGCCACGCUCUCCUCCCUCAGGGAAGCUGCCUCAGAGCUCGCGUCCCUGUGCUGUGUGGUCUUUUACCGCGGUGUUUCUUGAAGCUGCUCCUCACGCCCAGCACGCUGCAGGAGAGGCAACUUCUCCUCCAUUAUUCCCCUCCGGACAGGACCGGGAACUUCUGGUGUGGCCCUGUGUGUCUACUGCACUUCCGGUGUGGUCCUGUGUGUGUGCUGCACUUCCGGUCUCCAGGGAACCCUGAGUAUAAUUCUUUCAUCUCCAUAGGUCUGUGCCUUAAUACGCAGAUUAUCUGUAAAAGCCCAGGUACCCUCAAAGCACAGGCAAAAGUCACAUGACUAUGCAUUAGCAAGGAAAAAGCAUUUCACAAAGUCAGUCGUUCAUGACAAAAGCGCUCAGCAAAUCAGGAAUAGGAAGGAGCCUCCGACCUCCUGAAGCGCAUCUAUGAAGCACGCAGCUCACAUCGUACUUAAUGUCGAACGACUGAACAUAUGUCUGAUUGUGUUCCUGCCGUCCUUUUCAGAAUGACAUAGGGAGUUCUAGACAGGUUGACACUCAAGUAAAAGAAGUGAAACAGAUCCAGAUUAGAAGGGAAGAGAUAACAUUAUAUGUGUUUGCCAGUGACAGACACAGUCGUUUGUAAAUUGUGAAGAACACACUAAAAAGCUAUUAGAAAAAAAUAGAGUUCAACAAAGUUGCAAGAUCAAAGGUCAUUAUACGGUAUAAUAACCGUUGUUAACAUCCUGUCUUGUGAAAUUCUGUAUUUUUUUUUAAGUAAAAAAUCAUUAUACGAAAUUCAGUUUUAUUACUCUACAUUCAUGCAUUAACUUUCCAUUGCUGCUGCAACAAAACUCUUCCCAUCUUGUAACUUAGAAAGAGCUGGUUGCAUCCAGCUCUGUAGGGCACACCCGUGCCAGGGUCCGUGGGCAGAGUGGCAGGCGGAGGCUCUGUGGGGAAACUCAACACCUCUUUCAGCUCCCGGGCUGUUCAUCUUCUGAGCCCAGUGGCCCUCGCAUCGUUAUAAACCUUGCUUCCCUUGUCACCGACUUCCUCCCUCUGGAGCAUAGAGCAGAAUAAGGAAUGGUUGUUAAUCUCUACGGGAUUUCUUUUCAGAGUGAGGGAAGUGUUCCUAAAUGGACUGCGAUGAAGACUGCACAACUCCUUGAAUCCGCUAAAAUUCACUGGGCUGUAGACUUCCCAUGGAUACAUGCUAUUGUGCUGAAAUUAUAUCUCAUUAAAGAUGUGAAAACUACCAAAAAUAAGAAAAUUGCCUUGGACAAUUUAUACAGAUAAAGAAGUACAAAUAACUAUCAUUUAUGUAAUUUUUUCAAAAAAAUUAAAAUUGCUGGUAUUUAAAACAAUUUCACAAACAUUUUGAGUCCAUAGUUAAAAUGAUAAGAGUUAUUGUAAGAAAGCAGAGGAAAACUGUUAAUAACUAAGAGAAAUAUCACAAGAAAUAGCUACAAUUCAAAUUUUAGGUGUAAAUGAUAUUUCCUAUUAGUUAUGAUAAUUUGAAAAAAAGAAUCUUAGAUAAGAGAGUUUAUGUAAAUUACCUGGAAGCACUUUUUCAAAAUGUAGUGUGGAUCUGUUUAUUCUGAGCAUAAUUUAACAUCUAAAUGAACCAUUACUUGAACCAUCUCAUGUAUUAAUGUGCUUAAACAAAAUGUGUAUGAUAUGCCAAAAAAC
rnacentral:lncRNA from 1 species